CCAAUAAUAACAAAAAAAAAAAAAAAAUCCCUUUUUCCUUGAAAUUGAUACUUCAAAAUGGAUCCAAUCUCUUUCUAGCUUAGUUUUACUGAUUGGUUUCGUUGCAUUGGUCAUUUGAUUCAUGGGAAUCUGUUAAAAGUUUAUGAGAAUCUGUGUACAAUGCCAUUAAUGCAAAUCUUUGUAUUUAGUGUUUGUGUUUUUUAUUCACGAAGUUGUCACAGCUCUAUGCAAAUCACACAUGUGCGAGGUAGGUGAGAUAUGUUGGGUAUUGUAUAGUCAUCCCAUAUCACUUGGAAAUGACAACUGAAAUAAACUGUCAAUAAGCAAAAGCCAAAUUGCAAAACCAUGAUGAAACAGAUAAUAUCUCGAUAGUAAGCCGGUCUAUUAGACUUAGAAUGUUACAAAUAGUAAGCCGGUCUAUUAGACUUAGAAUGUUACAAAUAGUAUCCAAGACACGUAUCCUCUUGAACAAUAGUGGGACAAACUUUAGUGAGAAUUAUGUGGAUGCAAUACCUAUAGGCAAAUCCUAAUAUUCAAGCAGAUAUUAUUUGGCAUUGAGCUGGUCUAUUAGAACAUGGGAUCAAGGAACUCAUUUAUGAAUGAUUUAUAGUUGUUCUCAUUCUAGGGAUGGUUUCAACUGGCAAGUGCUAGGCAUUCUAUGGGAGUUUCACGAGUUAGUACUGCAUUUUUAGAUCUUAAAGUUCACUCUGCUGCUACAUCAUUGCAAGUAUCCCGACAUGAUGGUGAUUUUUCACUCAUCUCUGGUUUUACUGCAGUGCUAAUUUUAUAUUUUUCACUCUUAUGAGAAUUAUUGAACUUAUGUAUAUUUUGAUUUGAUGUGGCUGAAUGCUGAAUUCCAUGUUUAUGCAACAUGUAUUUCUUUUAUGCAAAUGAGCAUCGUCUGAUAAUGGAGAAUCUUUUUCUGGAGAAGAAAAAUCUAGAGAUGACAGGUUGCUGACCGAAUCUGAUAUCCAGCUCCGACAUUGAAACAAUUCCCAUCAUUCUGAGAAAGUCUUCGAAAGGAAUGAAGGUUCUCUUACGCAUGAUGACCAGAUCCAUGACAAAAGCUAGUUUCUGCCUCAUUGUCCCUGUUUGUUGUUGCAUAAGCACAUUAUAUGGAGAAGUAAUGACAUGAGUGUUGGUGGAUCGAGUAUAUCACUUAAAGUGGAAGGAUUCUGUUAGGAUUUAGGGGGACACUUGUCUUAAUUUUAGUGGGUAAAGUUUAUUAUAUAAAAGAAGUUAGGGUUGUCAAAAACAGAAGAAAAAAAUUAGGGUUUGGGCAGCCUUAGAGUUGAUUAGGGAGAUUUCCGGCGCCUUGUCAUUAUAAACCCUCUUUAUAUAUAAAACCAUAUAUGUUUUUGGAUUUGUUUGUGUUUCUGGUUGUUUAGUUUGAAUAAUUUGCUGUGAUCCUAACAAUUCCUAAUGAAUUACUCAAUUGUGUAAUCUGUAAUGGAUUCAAUCUAUAUAUCUUGUCGGUUCUGUCUUAGGUUCAAAAGCAGCAAUCCAAAUCAUUGUCGGAGUUUGGAGCACUGGCUUCCCCUAGGCUUCAAGCUGCCCAAGUAUCAUUUGAAAUAGGUAAUAACUUAGCAGAAGUACUCAUGAAAAUCUGCUGAAUAUAAGCAUCAGCUUUUAGGUAAUCUGUUUCUCUGCGGCAUUGGAGAUACUGGUACAAAUGGCAAAUAUGCGAUUGACAAUGCUUGUCACAUAUGAUCAAGUCCAUGAAGAAUUGGGAGGCACUCAGAGAUGAUAGAGUCGGUUCCUUCAGGCACGGAAAGGAGAGAGGGAUGCAGGGGAAGGUUGUUUUCUGUUUAUGUCAAUUUCACAUUGGUAGGGAGCGGAGGUUACGGGGUCUAUAUAAGCCCUUGGUCACCCUCUCUUCUGUGGGACAUCUUUUCAGGAUAAAACCCUGUGUGACUUGUUGCAUCAUGACCUAUUGCAUCAAAACCGGUGAAUGAUACCUCAAGGGCUAGGCCCAACCAUGUGUCCGAUCUGGGUCAUCGUCAACAAUAGGUUUUGAUAUAUAUCACCCGCAAUUUGGUGCGUUCAGUCGCCAAGAAUUAAAAGAAGAAAUUCAGAUUGAGAAGAAUCUAGAGAGAGAGACAUGCAGAGAGUGUGAAAGAUGAUGAAUAGGAACUUCAUUCUCCUUUUCAAAUUUCGUUACAACUAUAUUUAUACAAAAAUUCUAUAAUUUCCGUCAUGUCAGUAAAUUCAACUUAUUUUUCUA